rnacentral:rRNA from 1 species
AAAUGAAUAGACGGGGGCCCGCACAAGCAGUGGAGUAUGCGGUUUAAUUCGACGCAACGCGAAGAACCUUACCAGGGCUUGACAUGUACAGGAAUAUUUAAGAGAUUAAAUAGUCUCUUCGGAGACUUGUACACAAGUGGUGCAUGGUUGUCGUCAGCUCGUGUCGUGAGAUGUUGGGUUAAGUCCCGCAACGAGCGCAACCCCUAUGUUUAGUUACUAACAUUAAGUUGAGGACUCUAAACAGACUGCCAGUGAUAAACUGGAGGAAGGUGGGGAUGACGUCAAAUCAUCAUGCUCUUUAUGUCCUGGGCUACACGCGUACUACAAUGGGGAGACCAAAGGGAAGCGAAACUGCGAAGUUGAGCAAAACCCAAAAGCUCUUCUAAGUUCGGAUUGCAGAUUGAAACUCAUCUGCAUGAAGCCGGAAUUGCUAGUAAUGGUAGGUCAUCAUACUACCGUGAAUACGUUCUCGGGCCUUGUACACACCGCCCGU